rnacentral:rRNA from 1 species
AGCGGCGGACGGGUGAGUAACACGUGGGUAAUCUGCCCAACUGACUGGAAUAACGCCUGGAAACGGGUGCUAAUGCCGGAUAGGCAACUGGUAGGCAUCUACCGGUUGGGAAAGGUGCAACUGCACCGCAGAUGGAGGAGCCCGCGGCGCAUUAGCUAGUUGGUGGGGUAACGGCCCACCAAGGCGACGAUGCGUAGCCGACCUGAGAGGGUGACCGGCCACACUGGGACUGAGACACGGCCCAGACUCCUACGGGAGGCAGCAGUAGGGAAUCUUCGGCAAUGGGCGAAAGCCUGACCGAGCAACGCCGCGUGAGCGAAGAAGGCCUUCGGGUUGUAAAGCUCAGUCACCCGGGAAGAGCGGGCAGGAGAGGGAAUGCUCCUGUCGAGACGGUACCGGGAGAGGAAGCCCCGGCUAACUACGUG